GCCGGGGGUCGCCUGGCGGGGCUGUGCGGCUGCCGGCGGCGACGCGCUCGCCCUUCCUGCCCUCGGGAGAGAUCGUUUCCAGGAAUUGAGGGGCUGCGGAGGCAGGAAAUCCUGCGGGGCCCCGUGCGGGGAGCGGCCGCAACAGCAUCACCUCCGCGCGCAGGAGGGUGGGGUCCCCGGCCGCCUCCUCCCUGCUCCGUGUGAGCAUCCGCGCGAUGAAAUGUGGAAUCCGACGGUGGGAUCAAGGGUCUUGGACUCAAUUUUCCACCCUGGGUCAUCCUGUGCUGUUGAGGAGGAUUUGGGAGGACUACGGGGCCAGGUGUUGAAUCUAUGA
rnacentral:lncRNA from 13 species